UACAGAGAGUGCAAGCGUUAAUCGGAAUUACUGGGCGUAAAGCGCAUGUAGGUGGAUAUUUAAGUCGGAUGUGAAAUCCCUGGGCUUAGCCUGGGAAUCGCAUUCGAUACUGGAUAUCUCGAGUAUGGUAGAGGGAAGUGGAAUUUCCGGUGUAGCGGUGAAAUGCGUAGAUAUCGGAAAGAACAUCAGUGGCGAAGGCGGCUUCCUGGACCAAUACUGACACUAAAGUGCGAAAGCGUGGGGAGCAAACAGG
rnacentral:rRNA from 1 species